rnacentral:rRNA from 1 species
GAUGAACGCUAGCGGCAGGCUUAACACAUGCAAGUCGAGGGGCAGCAUGACACGGAGAUUCGUCGAAGUGUUGAUGGCGACCGGCGCAAGGGUGCGUAACGCGUGAGCAACUUGCCCGCUUCAGGGGGAUAACCGGUGGAAACGCCGACUAAUACCCCAUGGCAUUGGCUGGAGGCAUCUCCGGCCAAUUAAAGAAAUUCGGAAGCGGAUAGGCUCGCGUGACAUUAGCUAGAUGGCGGGGUAACGGCCCACCAUGGCGACGAUGUCUAGGGGUUCUGAGAGGAAGGUCCCCCACACUGGAACUGAGACACGGUCCAG